rnacentral:lncRNA from 1 species
AAACAAUAAUGAUGCUUGGGUCCCACCUGGAGAUUCUGAUACGGUUGGUCUGGCAGCGGGGCCUAGGAGUUGGGAGUAUUAAAAUCUCAGGUGAUCUUAAUGCAGUCAAGAAGACCCACUCCCACGGGUUAGAUUGUUUGCUUAAUUUGCAUCCUAUCAGGAGGCAGGUAAUGUCACACUGAUCCAUUGUUUGUGAUGCUAAACUCAGUCACUGGAUUGAGGUGGUCACCACCAGACCUCUCCAUCACAAAGGAGGCCUCUCCAUGGCUCUCCUUUGUAAAGAGUUGGACAGCAAGGACUCCCUGGUGGUGCAUUGGACCAGCAGGGCCUCUCUAGUCUUAUUUGUGGAGAUUGAUGGAUGAGAAAGGUGGCUGAGAAGCUUCCCAUACAUACUCCCUGGGGCAGUGCAACGGGAAGAAUGUGGGUUUCAGAGUCAGGUCUGGCUCUGUCAAGUUACCUGAGGCUCUCACCCUUUGCUGAGGCAAGGGCCCUAUUGGAGAGGCCCACAUGGCAAGGAACUGAGGACAGCCUCUGGCCAGCAGCCAGCAGGGAACUGAGGCCCUGAGUCCAACAACCCAUAUGGAAUUAAAUGUGCCACCAUCCACUGAGUGAGUGUGCGGGCAGAUCCUUCCAGGUUGAACUCAGAUGAGACUGCAGACGCUGGCCCAACACCUGGAUUACAAGCUUGCGACAGAUCAUGAAGCAGAGGACUCAGUGAAGAUGUGCCUGGGUUCCUGACACGGAAACGAUGAGAUAAUGAAUAUCUGUUGUUUUUUGAUGCCCAGUGUUGGAGUAAUUCAUUAUGCAGCAGUAGAUAGCUAAUACAGCGCCUUGCUUGGUUUCCUCCCAUUCUUUGUCU